AAGGGGUGUCAAAGUUGAGGUAGGUGCGAGAAAUGACGGAUCUGAAUCGUUCAUUGUCUCUCAGCUACUUCUACUGUGAUUAGACCUCUG
rnacentral:pre_miRNA from 16 species